CCCUUAGGUGUUCUGGGCCGCACGCGCGCUACACUGAUGCAUUCAACGAGCCUAUCCUUGACCGACAGGUCCGGGUAAUCUUUGAAUCUGCAUCGUGACGGGGAUAGAUUAUUGCAAUUAUUAAUCUUCAACGAGGAAUGCCUAGUAGGCGCAAGUCAUCAGCUUGCGUCGAUUACGUCCCUGCCCUUUGUACACACCGCCCGUCGCUCCUACCGAUUGGGUGUGCUGGUGAAAUGUUCGGAUCGGCCGUUUGUCGCGGUUUCCGCGUCAUGUGACUGAGAAGUUCAUUAAACCCUCCCACCUAGAGGAAGGAGAAGUCGUAACA
rnacentral:rRNA from 1 species